AGUGAAUCUUUUUUGCUGACAUUCUGAAAAAGUAUUGUGUAGUCCAUGUGUAAGUGUUGACUCUCAAUUUACACAUGUGAUUUUUAUACCCCCGCUUUAAAAAAAAAGGGGGGGGGGGUAUACUGUUUUACCUCUGUCUGUCCUUCCGUCAGUCCGUCCGUCCGUCCGUCCCAGAAUAUUUUUCGUCGCAUUUUUCUCGCAUUUUCUCAGGAACUACUACAAUACAAGGAUUUCUGAAAUUUGGUUUCAGGGUUUAUCUAAGUCAGCUAUACCGUGUGAUGCGUUUUCAGAUUGAUCACUUGACAACUUCCUGUUUACCGAACACUUGUAUGAUUUUACACAUGAUAGCCAAGUUGAAAAUUUUCGUCACAUUUUUCUCAGGAACUACAAUACAAGGAUUUCUGAAAUUUGGUUUCAGGAUUUAUAUAAGUCAGCUAUACCGUGUGAUGCGUUUUCAGAUUCAUCACUCGACAACUUCCUGUUUACCGAACACUUGCAUAUUUUUACACUAUUAAUAUUAUCCACUUGCGGCGGGGGUAUCAUCAGUGAGCAGUAGCUCGCAGUUUCACUUGUUUUAACAUUCCCCGGACUUCUGCAAAAAACAAUUAUUCAGUUCACUGAUUAAGAUGGAAGGUAACGACAACAGAAAGUCACAGGACAUUCCGACAAAAAGUUACAGGACAAAAAGUCAGACACAUGUCAGACUAGUCCAAAUAAUUAUGACGUCUGGCAAGGCUAUUUUAUUUUUUUUCUGGGACGCCUUCCUACGUCUCAGAAAAACGUCAUAAUUAUUUGGACUAAUGUCAGACAUAAAGUCACAAAGUUGAUAGGACAAAACAUGCAAAAAGUCACAAACAAUUUGUUGACAAUUGUUUGAAUAUAAACGAAAAAGAUUUUGAAAUAUCUUCUUUUUAUUACAUAUACUCAUUUUUGAUUUAAGGAAAUUAUUCAUAAUAUAAAAAAGAAGAUGAGGUAUGAUUGCCAAUAAAACAACUGUCCACAAGAGACCAAAAUGACACAGACAUUAACAACUAUAGGUCUUUACAGCCUUCAACAAUGAGCCAAUAUAAAAAAGAUGUGGUAUGAUUGCCAAUGAGACAACUGUCCACAAGAGACCAACAUGACACAGACAUUAACAACUAUAGGUCACUGUACGGAUUUCAACAAUGAGCAAGCCCAUGCUGCAUAGUCAUGAUAGUCAGCUGUAAAAGGCAAUCAUACCAUAACUUUUUUUAUAUAUUUACAUGUAAAAAAAUGCAUGCAAAUGUAAUCAAAAGCUGCACACAAACCUAAUGAUUUUUGUGCGCAAAUGUAAUGGUAAUGUGUGCAAACCUAAUGCACCGAUUUAAUUUGUUUUUAAUAAAUUUUAAUUACAUUUAAGUUGCUACAUCAUGUUCAUGUAUAAAACUUCAAGAAAAAUACAAAAAGAGUGUUUUCUUGUUCAAAGAAAAAUAAUCUCAAAACUGAAUUGUGACUUUUUGUCCUGUGACAAUGUGUGACUUUUUGACCGUGACUUUUUGUCCUGUGACUUUCUGUCCUACAUUCAGGUUGAAUAGGGGAGUUUGGUUGACCCUGUCUCCCUCUAUCUGAGACUUCUAUCUCAGUGAUGAGCUUUAUGUUUCAUGUAUUGUGCUUGUCAUAUAUGUAUGUGGGAUAAAAGCUCUACAGAGCUUAUGUUGUAUUGAUAUAUGUAUAACCGACAAUAAAUAAAUCUUUUUUGGUAGCCCCUAACAAGUAAGAAUUAGGUUACUUCUUUUUGUUUUGACAUCUUGCAAGGGUUUUUAUACCCCCGUUUUAAAAUUAUACCCCAACUUUAAAAAGGGGGGGGGGGGGGUAUACUGUUUUACCUCUCUCUCUGUCCAUCCAUCCUUCCGUCAGUCCAUCAGUCCGUCCGUCCGAUGAAUAUUUUUUUGUCCCAUUUUUCUCAGGAACUACAAUACAAGGAUUUCUGAAAUUUGGUUUCAGGGUUUAUAUAAGUCAGCUAUACCGUGUGAUGCGUUUUCAUAUUCAUCGCUGGACAACUUCCUGUUUACCGAACACUUGUAUGAUUUUACACAUGAUAGCCAAGUUGAAAGUUGAAAACUAACAACCUUAUUUAUGUACUAAAAAUUGAAGAACAGAUAUGUUACACAUAAACAAACGACAAUCACUGAAUUAUAGGAUCCUGACUUGGAACAGGCACAUCCAUAACAAAUUGGCAGGGUAUAAGGAACAUUGAAAAUGUUUAGUUUUUGUGGUUUGGUCUAUUUUCCGGAUACUGUAAGCAAUAAGGCCCCUUUAUUUAGUGAAUGAAAAGAUUGAAAGAUGCACAUGUCUGUCUGCCAUAUUUUAUAUGAACUUGACCUCAUUUUCAUGGUUCAUUGGGCAAUGAAACACUGCAUUGUUUUGUCAGUUUAUCAUAUAUGUUUAAAGUUACAGGUAGAUUAUAUUUGGUAAAUAUGAAACAAUUGUAAGGUGUGCAUGUCUGAAUGUCAGAUUCAUAUAACCAUGACCGCAUUUUAUGGUUCUUUGGUCAAUGAUAAGUUUUCUUGGUUUUGUCAUUUUAUCAGAUUUUCUAAGCAUAGGUCUACUUGUUGUUGUAUAGAAUGACUACAAGGUAUCAUAUAAAAAAGAAGAUGUCUGCCUGCCAGGGUUAAUUUUACUGUGACCUCAUAUUCAUAGAAUAAUGAUAAUAUUCAUGAUAUUGAACAGCAAGAAUGAUGAGUAAGUUGACGUUAUAUACAAAUAAGGCAAAAUUUUCAGUUGCCUACUAAUUAUGUAAUAGUAGUUAUUCCAUAUUGGUAUUAUUUUAGUAGGUUUCUCUAUACGAAUUGGAUUUUGAACAAAAAAAGCAUAUUCACCUGGGAAAGUGUUAUUCACCGCGCUUAACAUCAGGCGCUUUUACAUGCAACGUUAUGGUAAAAUGUUUCAUGUAAAAUUUGUUUUGGUAUAUGUUUUCUUCUCUCGGAAUAUGGAAUAAAACAAUUACUGGCUUUUGUUUCGGUAAAUAUGGGGUUUAAUUGACGCUUGAAAAACUGAUAUUCACUUCGGACAUCAGCCUCAGUGAAUAUCAGUUUUUCAAAAGUCAAUAAAACCGCAUAUUUACCUUAUCAAAAGACAGUAGUUGUAUAUUAUUUUUGUCAUUAAAUGAGGUUUACCCUUUUAUGUGUAGGGCAAGAAGCAAGAACAUUAAAGAUAAAGGCGAAACUAUAAACAGAAGAAAUUAUCAACAAAAUUAGAUUUACAGAGGUCAACAAAGCCUAAAUGGUAAGUCCACUGUUAUAAAAGUUUUUGUCCUUGAAUAAUGAUUAAAUACUUAUAAAAAUAAGAUGUGGUAUGAUGAAUGAGAAAACUAUCCAUCAGAGUUCAAUUUAGUGGAUGUAAGCAUUGUAAUUACUUAUUAGAGGCCAUUGAUGACCUGUAAGUAUAAAUGAGAAAACCCAUACCCUAUACAUGUUAUAGUAAUCUAUAAAAGACAACACUAACCAAAUUUGAAACAAAGCAUCAAUUCGAACGUCAAAUAUACCAGACUAAUUUAUAAAAACAAAAAAUUAUGAAAAAUAAAAAUGACGGAUAUGAACCAACAUCAACCACUGAACUAUGUACAAGCUCCUGAUAUUGGACGGGUAUAAUAUGGCUGGGUUGAUAUAAAAAUAAGAAGCACUUAGCAGUCUGAUUUCCAAUGAGACAUUUCUCCAAUAGAGAUCAAAUGACAUUUAAGGAGACUCUAGGGUAUAACAAUUUCAGAAAAAUAUUUAAUAUUUUUUUUUCAUAAGUCAUUUUAUUUAUAACUUUAUUAGUUGUUACUUUAUCAUAUGGUACACCAAAUCAUUCAAAACAAUCAAUUCGGUUUGGCCCCAGAUGACUUUUAAAAUGUAUAUAUCAUUGAAAAAGCUCCAAAUUAUCUCCCUUUGGUGCAAAAUGCCAUUUUUUGGCAUUAGAAAUGUAAUAUCUUUUUUAACUCAUCGGUGGCCUAUAUUUUUUUAUUAUAAUUUUUAAAUAAGCUGUACUUAAACUAAACUAUUAUAAAAUUUAAGCGAUUUCUGUAAUUUAGUACUUGAAUAUUCAAAUGAAAGUUUAUCAUAAUAUUCAUAAACAUGAUAAAAUAGCCAUUUUAUUGAUCUCUUCACUGAUAAUUUUUGAUUUUUUUGUAUUUGUAGGUCAGACAUCUCGAUUUUUAUGGUCAUCAGUCAACAGAUCAAUACUGAACGGAAAACUUAAAGUUGAUAUUUUUCUCCAUAAUGCGACUUUUUAUUAAUUUGAAAUGGAACGUGUUUUUUCCUACAUUUAUUUGAAAGAGGAAAUUUCAACAUGAUGACUAUAAACAAAAAGGAGUCAUAUCAUCACGAUCAUUGAUGCACAAGAACUUGAUCAUAUAAAUACAACAAUGUAAUUAUCAAUUGAAAGAUGGAACGAAUGAACAAAAUAUUAGUAUGUUGUUGUCCAAAUAAACUUGCUUUGUCUUCUCAUUUGAAUCUCUCCAUUCAAUAAAGAUGUACCGAGGAAG
rnacentral:lncRNA from 1 species